rnacentral:lncRNA from 1 species
GGAUGGACCUUAAUACCGCUUUUGAUGAAUAUUAUUUGACAAAAUAAAGAGAAUCCGCCUUCGAUAACUUCGACUUAAGCCUCAGCGACGAAUCUAUCCAGUUCGGUAUUGAGAAAUUGAAACCCAAAACUAAACCCACAACCAGUAACGAAUACCAAAGAACUUGAGAUGAAAAUCGCAACAGCACAAACCAAUCCCAUUCACGAACUAAUCUUGAAAUCAAAGGAGAUGAUGAGAUGGGGAGAUUUAAGACGGAAUUGAUCGAACGAUGAACUGAAAACCAAUCAAAACUGAGCUCCAGUGAGUUGCGAAGGGCAAAACUAGCGAAACCAGUCGAAAUCUGGCGACUAUGGCGCCGAAACAGUAGCCCGAAACCCGAUUUUGUUUUCUCCCUAUUCUCUCUCGCGCAUCACUCUCUUCUCUCUCAUUUUUAUCCCUCUCCUUGUGCUAUUACUGUGUGCGUGCCUCUCGUGAGCGGAAAUUUGUAUUGUUGUUGUUAUCUCCGGUGAGUGUAGAUAGGGGUCUAGGAUUUUUGCAUGAAAAUUAGCUGGGUGUCUUCCCCUAUCCGUGAAUAUGUGUGUACAAGUGUCAAUGGUGGGUGUUCGUUUUUCAGUAAAAAAAAUGAAAUUCCUGAAGAUGAGUGCUCUGUGAGGAUUAAUGGUGUUUUUUGUGAGGGUCAGUAAUGGAUGAGAGGCGUGAGGAUGAGUGGAAAGCAUUGUGAAUAAUUAUGUGAAAAAAUGGAAUUUUUGGAAAUUUUUUGUGUUCUCUAAUGGAAUAUGUGGUGCA